rnacentral:rRNA from 1 species
CCUACGGGUGGCUGCAGUAGGGAAUAUUGGGCAAUGGACGCAAGUCUGACCCAGCAACGCCGCGUGAAGGAAGAAGGCUUUCGGGUUGUAAACUUCUUUUAAGGGUGACGAGCAGCAGACGUUACCCCUUGCAUCAGCCCCGGCUAACUACGUGCCAUCCGCCGCGGUAAUACGUAGGUGGCAAGCGUUGUCCGGAUUUACUGGGUGUAAAGGGCGUGCAGCCGGAGAGACAAGUCAGAUGUGAAAUCCCCGGGCUCAACCCGUGAACUGCAUUUGAAACUGUUUCCCUUGAGUGUCGGAGAGGUAAUCGGAAUUCCUUGUGUAGCGGUGAAAUGCGUAGAUAUAAGGAAGAACACCAGUGGCGAAGGCGGAUUACUGGACGAUAACUGACGGUGAGGCGCGAAAGCGUGGGGAGCAAACAGGAUUAGAUACCCUAGUAGUC